CUCCCCUCGAGUGCGGGCUGGACCUACCGACUCCCUUCUGACGAGAGGAAUGGGGCAAAGUGAUGGCAUCUCACUUCCAGGAGCAGGUGACGAAAAGAUUGUGGCUGUCAUCGCAGGUCAGCCAGACAGCACGAGUGCCCAUCCUUCCCCAAGAGGAGUGGCGAUUCCGGGCCAGAGAGGCUGAGCUCCUUACCCAGCAUGGCGCUGGGGGGCAGGGGCCAAGAUGACAUUGGCAGGUCUCCUGACUCAAGUCCAACGCUUCCCCACCCUGCUUCUAAGGCUCCACCUUGGAAAGCCCCCAAGGAGCACAAGGUCAAGGUGGAUGAGCACACAGUGGU